CCAGUAGGCUGGGUGAUCGCGCCCUGGCAUGCAAGAUGCCGGGGUGAGGAAAGUCCGAGCUCCACCGGGCAGCGUGCUGGGUAACGCCCAGGCGGGGUAACCCGACGGAAAGUGCCGCAGAAACAUACCGCCUCGAUCUUUCGGGGUAAGGGUGAAAUGGCGGGGUAAGAGCCCACCAGCGGCCGGGCGACCGGUCGGCUGGGCAAACCCCACGCGGAGCAAGGCCAAAUAGGAGGACGUAGGGACGCCCGGCCUGUCCUCGGGUUGGCCGCUGGACCCCGGCGGCAACGCCGGGGCUAGAUUGAUGGUCACCGCCCCGAUCUCGGUCGGGGGCACAGAACUCGGCUUACAGGCCUGCUGGGCCA
rnacentral:RNase_P_RNA from 2 species